AUUUAUAUUUUUAUAUUCCAUAGUUUUAUUUCUUUUUACAACGGAGAAAUGGUAUAAUUAUUAAUAAUAAAUAACUUCUUUUAACGACCCUUCCGACUGGCACAUUUAUUCCAUUAAAAAAUUAUAUAAUUAUUAUUUCUAAAUCGAUCAAUUGCUAAAAUGUUAAAUUAAUAGGAAAAAUAUCGUUCGCAUAUAUAAAAUUGGAAAACACUUAUGAAAGUUUUAUUGAACUUCGAAGCUGAAAAUUCUGACAAUUCCAUGAAUUCCAAUAAUUUUGCUGAAUUUGCGGCCGAGGUAUCGAUGCAGAUCGAGAAUCCAAAUCACCUGUUCAGAAUACUUUAGAUCUUAAUGUACACUCGCGUAACGACGUAACACUAUCUUGAGUAGAGGGGAUGGCUGGUCACGUACACAGACAACGUCCGUGACACAGGCUAGAAAGUGUUUUGAAGUAUUUGUAACACCGAGUGGACCGUAUUUGGAGUAAUACGUAAAUGAAAAUAAAAAUUUUCACGAACGUCA